rnacentral:rRNA from 1 species
UGGGGAAUAUUGCGCAAUGGGGGGAACCCUGACGCAGCCAUGCCGCGUGAAUGAAGAAGGCCUUAGGGUUGUAAAGUUCUUUCGGUAUUGAGGAAGGUUGAUGUGUUAAUAGCACAUCAAAUUGACGUUAAAUACAGAAGAAGCACCGGCUAACUCCGUGCCAGCAGCCGCGGUAAUACGGAGGGUGCGAGCGUUAAUCGGAAUAACUGGGCGUAAAGGGCACGCAGGCGGUUAUUUAAGUGAGGUGUGAAAGCCCUGGGCUUAACCUGGGAAUUGCAUUUCAGACUGGGUAACUAGAGUACUUUAGGGAGGGGUAGAAUUCCACGUGUAGCGGUGAAAUGCGUAGAGAUGUGGAGGAAUACCGAAGGCGAAGGCAGCCCCUUGGGAAUGUACUGACGCUCAUGUGCGAAAGCGUGGGGAGCAAACAGGAUUAGAUACCCUGGUAGUCCACGCUGUAAACGCUGUCGAUUUGGGGGUUGGGGUUUAACUUUGGCGCCCGUAGCUAACGUGAUAAAUCGACCGCCUGGGGAGUACGGCCGCAAGGUUA